CCAAUUAUUUUCCCCGACCAAUCAUACGGCGACAAACCUUCUCCCUCUGUCCUGUCCCGUCCUUCUCUCUCUCUUUCUCUCCAGGUCGACCUGCUUAUAACCCGAUCCAAUUCCACCAUCGGCCAUAAGGGGUUCAGUUUAGAAAGAAAAAAAAAAAAGACCCCCCCAUCCACACACACCGACACAGAAACCCUAAUAAUUAAGAGGGUUUGAGAUCUAGAAUGAUUCCAUAAAUGGGUCUUAACUUAAUUGUAGAUCUGUCUUUGUCUGUCUGUUAAUGUUCUUAGAUGAUCUUUCUCAGCUUACCCUAGCUUCUGCUGCUGCUCUUGCUGCCGGAAGAAAGAAAGAAAGAAGAAAGAGAAAGAUGGCUGGGCUGACUGACAGAAGAGAGUGAGCACAUAACCGCAGAUAAUUGUAUGUUACUGUUGUGCUGUGUUGUGCGUGUGCUUACUACUCUUCUGUCAGUCCUUAAAUAUCGUUCUUGCCUGCCUUUUCUCUUCUCUUCUAUUCGAUCUUUCUUAUAAAAAAACCUACCUAGCUAGGUUUACAAAAAUAGAAACUUUUUUUAACAAAGAUUACGACACUAGCUAGCAGCGGCGGCGGCAUCUUUCUUCUAAUUCGUGUUCCAGGUCAGCUUUGUAUAUGCCUUUAUAUAUAUAUGCCUACUUUUGUUUAUACUAAUAUGUUUUUCUUUAGUUUCAGGUUUUUUUUUGAAGACAUGGAUUUCUUCUAGCUAACCAUGUUUAUUAUUAUUUGAACAACCUCUCCACUAUUUGGUUUAAUUAUGAUUCUUAAUAGUUUACUUAGCAUCCCCUUGUGCCACUUUCUUUAAUUCUAUAUAUUUUGCAUUGAUAUAUAUACACUAUUUUAAUAUCAAAAUAAUUAGUUUAGUGGUGCCAAAAUGGCAUGUCUUUGCAAAUAUUAAGCUAUUUUCAAAUCAUUAAUUUGGAUGGUAUUAUAUAGUUAGGAAUAACAUUGCCCUUUUAUGUGGUCAUUAUUGGUCUUAUGAGUCAACUUUAUUAUAUUUUUUUGAGUCAUUGUCAUCAACUUUUAAUUUCUUAUAAAUGUAUACUAUAUUGGUAUAUUUGGGAAUUCAUCUACUUAUAAUUUUUUUUUUUUUGGUUAGUUAUACCUAUUUUCGUUUUGAGAUUUUAUUUGGUAAGUUUGAUGCGCUAACUAACACAAUUAAUCCGUUAUCAUUGUUGUCACGCUCAUUUUAGGUUUAAAUUAAGAAUCAAAUCUUAAUCGAUUCGCCAUCGGUUUAAUUGUUACAAACUUCUUUCUACAUGAGUAACGGGUUACCCGUUUUUGGAGUUCAUCUAUAAUUUUACUUUUUGUAAAUAGUUCAGGUGAAGAUUUGAAUCGAUGACCUUAAAGAUAUGCGUUUAUGUGUUCUACCACUAAGUUAUGAGUCUCUACUAUAUAGUUCAUUUAUAAUUACUUAGAAUGAACUAUUGACAUCACUUUUAUAAUGCGCUAAGAACCUUAGAUAGGUGUCGCAAAUGGAAACGGAAGAAGGAAUGUAUCGACCAUAUAAAUUCACACCAACAUAAAGGAAUAUCGAUGCUAUUAUCCAUGUGGAAAAUGAACGUUGACACGCUCACAAUAUACAUCAAUCAAAUUGGCGAGGACAAAAAAAUGUGGGAUGAUUGGAAACUAGCCUUUAAACAAAGCGUGCCUUUUGAUGUGUGAGGAGGACGACGAGGGUUUUGAAGGUACGCCCCCACAACUGUGCUGAUUUAACAGAAAAAGGUAAGCGAUUCUCAUUAUUUUUUCAUAAAUUCUUCUCAUUUUUCCGUUUAAUUGAUUGCUUCCGCUCUCGAUUGUGUAUCUGAUUUCUACAUUUACGAUCUGAAUCUUCCUCACUUGCGAUGUUUCUCUGAUCUUGCGUUUUUUUCCCUUUUAAGAGGGUUUGCUAGAUGCAAUGUAUGAUCGCAUCUCUCUCUCCCUCUCCUCAUAUGGGUUGAUUCUUCGAUUCUAUGGCGAGUCGAGCGAUUGAUUCAAUUUCUGAUUUUCGUUCAACUCUUAGGGUUCCAACCAAAGAAGAUGGCUAGGACGUUACAGACAUCGAUUUACAUCUACUACAGAGAUGUUUUGCAUCGAAUAAUGGAUAUGCCCAUGAAGAAUUCAGGUUAAUAAUUAUGGUGCGAUUCCAUGUGUCAUGACAAGAUGAAAAAGGUGAAAAUAAUGAACAUGGCCACUGGCCAUAAGAAGACUUCUGGUGGGACAGUUAGAUGAAUUCAAUUGGAAGUAGUUCUUAAAAAGGCUCAUUUACCUUGUUGAAAUCGACGAAAGAUUCACAUUUUUUAAGCCAAGCUUUCUGAAAGAGAAAAUCAAGACUCCGAUCAUCCCUACUGCAAGAAUCAUAUAUAUUUUUCGGGGAUUAGAUUUGUUUCGUCACAAAGGGUUCUUUCUUUCUAAAAGAAGAGGUGUUUAUUUGAUCAAGUACUUCAUCACAUGGAAUGAUCAUGAUAGGGUUAUAGGAAAAUUCAUUCCCCUUCCCUUUGUUUGUCUGUUGUUAAUCAUUUGUAUUGAAAUGAUUAAUAUUAAUGAGAAUUAUUGUAAGAUAAUUUAUAAA